CCCGGGCCAGGGGGGUGGGGACCGGUAUGGAGAGGACCCGGCGAGGGCGAGGCCUCCAGCCGCGGCCCCUGGGCUACAGCGCGCCCCCUCCCCACGGGCACAAUAUGGCCGGGCGGGGGUCCCCGAGGAGUCGGGGUGACCCUCAGUCAGCUUCCCCCGACCUCCAAGGCGCGGCUGCCCAGCCGGUCCCGCGCUCACGCCAGGCCCCUGGGGGCCCGAACCCCCUUUCAGGCGGAACUGGAUUCGGGGAGCUCUCGGGGGUCACGCUCCCAGCCUCACCAUGUUCCAUAGAGGGGAGUCCGGGCUUCCGUCCCCAAUACUUGGAGAGCCAUGGUUUCUGCACCUCAGCGUGCCCAGGGGCGGAGGGCUUUAUUCCCUCUCUCCAGAUGCUCUUGGGGGCGCCUUUUCUCCCGGCAAGAUUGUGGACUUCGGGCGAUGGGAUCUUUGGUACUCCGAGGUAUCCUGACGUUGAGGGUCCUUGCGCACCGCAGAUUAUAGGGGGAGGGGUCUCUAACCUUUCCCUCAGAUCCAGCACUUGGGGUGGCUCUUCCCCUCCUUUCCCCUCCUCCCUAACAACGUUCUGAGAAAAGGAGCCACAUUUCCCCUUCGUUUGGUCCCUUGAGUUCAGUGGGGGCUAAGCCCCCUGCCUCCGUUUCGUUAUGCCCAGUAGAAGCUAUUUGGAGGAAGUGGGAUGAACAGGCCCCUAAACCCUUUUUGGAGCUUGGUUUCGGAAUCCCUCUAACCCUCUGAAGUCUAGUUCCAGAACGGUUAAUCUGAAUCUAGGUGUAUUUGCUUUCCUUAUUCGCUCCUCCUGCCCACCCCAGGGGCCCCAUUCAGUUAAUUACCUUGUGGAUGCCUUUCAGGUGAAAUUCUAGAACCUGUCUCCAACCCCCAAGAUUAUUUAAAGAUCCCACCACUGGAACAUCUUCCUGGUCCUUGGUCAGUACUUAUUUACCUUCCCACACAAUCCCUCUUCCCAGCCCCCCUCCCCACGCACUCCCCUACCCUCACACACCCCUUCCUUAUCUUCCAUCCCCCAAAACCUUCUGCUCCCUUGAUACCACCGCCACCCUUCCCAGUAUAGAGGUGGUUACCUUUCUGUGGGACACUCGACAGACAGUCGGUGUGUUGUUUAUGAGGCUUUGAGGGCUGAGAAGAGCAGAGAAAUCCUAAAAUGUUUAAUUUAGGAGAGUUGUCUCAAGUAUGUUUUGGCAUUGGGGUAGUGGAUGAAGGUUAUAUUUGGCAUUUCUAUUGAAGUGAUUAUUGACCUGCAGAUGGAUCUGGGAGAGACAGUCAGGGUUGUAUUUGCUCCCUAUGUAUGAAGGCUGCUGCUUUGACUUCUCAGCAGCCCCUAACCUUUCAGCAGUGGAAGAUCAAGUGGCUGUCCUCCCCACUAAAAAUAAUGAUUCUCAGGUGGGUUCAGGCCUCCUUAAUAAACCAGACAAUCAGAAAAAGACAGAAUCCUGCUUUGGAGUCUCAAAAACAAGUUCGUUAUCUCUGGCUUUGAUUUUUGCUCCUGGUGGUGUAGCCUGUGCAGUGGGGUCUUUGUUCACGUUUCUGCUAAGCACCUCGUGUGUGUUCUUUGGUCUCGCUGCUCUGUGGCAUGGGUAACUGUGCUGUGUGGUCUGAUAAACAUAGUGAAGGUGUAUGAAUGGAGCCUGACAUUUGUGGUGAGAUAAUGGUCUUGGUGAAUAAGGAUGCUUGCCGGGCCUUAUUAUGGGCCAUGUUUUUGGAAUACAUAACAUAAUGUUAUUUUUCUAGUGGGCUAGUAAAUAAGGAGACUCAGCCUUCAGGUUUGUCAUUUUAUAUGUGUAUGAAUAAAUCUUUAAAUUACUUCCAUAGGCAUUUUUAACCUCUAAUAUAUACAAGAUUUUUAACAACGAUUUCCCUGCUGAUUUGGUGUAGUCUUUGUGGGGCCCUUCUUGUUGUGAACCUGGUUAAAAAUGUUUAAUUGAUAAUCCAACUGGUUCUGAACGGGCAGAGUUCAUUUUUUGUAACCUUCUAAAAAUGGAUGUUUGUUGGGUUGAGGAUGGGUGGGCAUAAUAGAGAGUUAGUUUCUUUUUUUGGUAAAUUGGAAAUUAGGUUGUGUGUCCAGAAAACAUUCUCGAAGGCCUUUAAACUUCUUGGCCAGACACUACAGUUUUUUCCGGGACACAUCUAGUUGCCAAUAGUUCAUGCUACGGAGACCACUGUUGCAAAAGGCUUAAAGUAAAACGUCAGUUCUGGGAAAAUAGAGGCUGUGGGAUAACAAGAAGUUGAUUUUUUUUUUUUUCCCUCCCCUGCGUUUCCUAUAGUCUUGCCCUAUGUGGGCUGAAGGAGUGGCAGAGCCAGGCAGCUCUGAGCCAUGGUACUUGGACUUGAUAUGAGGGCAGGAAGGGAUAGGUGUUUCUAUUAAUUAAUAAGUUAACUUGGACUUAGUAAAAGGCCACUGAUAAGGAGAAUGAGUUUCAGGCUAGAAACAGCAUCCAUUUGAUAGGUGUACCAUGUUUUAAGGCCUAGCUUUGGAAUUUUCAUGUUAGUAUUUUAAAAUGUAAAAUAAGCAGGACAGGAACGUGACAUUCAUUCUUCAAGACAAAAGCAGUAAGAGAGACAUUUGAAGUCCUGAUAGGAACCUUUCGAAUUUCUCUGAACAAACUAAAAAUCUCAUUCCAGGCCAAGCCUUGUCAUUUUGUUCAGUGGACACGUGUUUGAAGUACAGUGACGUGAACUCUUGUAGUGAAAAAGAGACUCUGAUUAGUUGUGUUAAAACAGCUUCUGGAACAGAUAUGAUUAAAACAUAUUAAAAUGGCUCCUCUGGUUAAAGGUUAGAGCCAGAUGGAGGGAGGAGGUUGGUUUGUCACCUCAGAACUUCGCUCCCUUUACAGGUCGUCCUUGAACAAGUAACCUUUCUGUGACUCUGCCUCAGUUUUUCCUCCAUAAAGUAAGGAAAUGUGCCGCGCCAUCCUUAUUGGGACAUUUGUGAGUCUGACUUACUGAUAGCCAGUUGGCUGGGAGGUAUUUUUAGACACAGUUUCUGACUUCAGUGAAUAAGCAAUGUUGGGUUACUUUUUAUCUUCUGGGGCAGAAUAACAUACUCUGUGAUUGAUAGGAACGCCACAUGUCACAGUGUGGUUAAUUUCUUAUUUGUGCAUUUUUGUUGACCCAUUUCAGAUUUCCUGAAGUUAAUUUUGGUCUUUGACAGGCCCUUACAUCUGUAGAGCUGACAGCAUACCUGUGCUAAUCAAAGACAGCGUGGAGGGAGUGACCUGCUCUAGGCUUUAUUGGUUUGGCAGUGUUUUAGUUCUUACGCAACUCUGGGUAUGUUUAUGGCACUAUGUAAAUGUUACAUAAGAACAUGGAGGCUGAGAGGUGGCCAGGAUGAUGACUGUGAGUGCAGGAAGGUUGGACUGAGGACUUCAUCUGAAAGGGCCCUGGGGAUCUGCACUCAGUACAGGAAGAAGCUGCACUUCAUUUUCUUCCAAAAACCUUUUUAGAUGAUUGUGUCUUUCAGGUGGACUGCUAUGUUAUAAAUAGGUUUAUUCUCCACCGGUGAGCUAAUUGUAACCUUGCUACCAAAAUAUGAAUCAGUAAACCGAGGAGACGACGAGCCGUGCCACUUCUUUCAGCAUGUCCUGUUGAAGCUGCUUGUUGCAUUUUGGAACAGGAGUUGAACUGCGUUGCAGCCUGUUCUCAUAAUAACUCAGGAGUACAGGGUGUUGAGGUGGGAUGGGAUUCUCAGUUCUCAGCUCCUUAGAUCUUCUUUAAUUCUGAAGGUUAUAUUAGAAUACUGAAGUGCCUCUUGUUUUAAUUUUUGAAAUCUUUAUUGUUGACUGUUCAGUUUUUGCUCAGGACAGCCAUGAACCCUAGUUCUGGAAUCUUACCUCUUUGUCUUGAAUUCUUGUGUUAUUUGUCUGUUAUAGUAAGAGUUGAUGUAAGAGGAUCUUAUCUCGUUUUUCCUCUUUGUAUUCACAAAAAGAAAAUCCUGGAGUUCUCUUUCCCAAUAACCCUCUGAUGGUGGAAGUGCUGCAGGCAUCCAUAGUGCAUCAGUUUUGCCUGGACUAGGUAGGAAUGCUGAACCCUUUUAAGUAAUUAGCUCCUCAGACUGGACAGUUCCCCUGCAGUCUAAUUUAUAUUUCCCUUGUUCUUCAGGCACUACGCAGCAAUCAGGUUCAAAUACCUGCUCUCGGUUUUGGUCCCCUCAGUUUCUCUGUCACGCACGGUUUGAGCAGAGCUUGGGCUUCAGAGGCACGGUUUCAGCUCUUGUCUCUUCUCCGCCUGUUCACUUCUCCACCAUGGAUAAAUGGAGCACCAAGCAAAUAUACUCUUCCAGAGCAUGUCUUUCUUUCCUUUACUUGGUAGAGUUGCCAGAGUUGGGUUUAGCUGUGAAGUUUCCAUCCCAGGCAGUGUUACCUGCUCUUGCCCUGGGUUUCAGGGAAAGGCAGUGCUACUUAGGCACCCCUGGUGUUUUUUUUGGCUUUCUUCUCUCUUCCGGGUCAUAAGCCUGCAUUUGUCUUGCUAAAUGUUUUGAAUUUAAUAUAAAGAAAGUAACUGCCUUUCCCUUUAAAGUAUCAGAUCGCCACUAACAUUUACAUAGUUACCUGUAAGAGAUUUCUUUAGUCCUUUGGUUGGUUGUGUGCCUGAAACAGUUGUGUGCCUUUUAUACUGACCCCAUGUGAUGGAGUAGAACUGCCCCAUAGGGUUUCCUGGGCUGUAAUCUUUAUGGGAAGGAGCUCUUGUGGCCCAGUGGUUAAAGCGCUCAGCUGCUAACCUAAAGGUCAGCGGUUCAAACCUACCAGCCACUACAUGGGAGAACGAUGUAGCAGUCUGUUUUUGUAAAGAUUUAUAGCCUUGGAAUCCCUGUGAGCAGUUCUGCUCUAUUCUGUAGGGUUGCUAUGAGUCAGAAUCGACUUGGCAAUGGUUUUGGCUGUUUUUUUUUUAAUCUUUAUGAGAGCAGAUCAGGGCAGAUUGCCUUCAUUUCUCCCACAGAGCUGCUGGUGGGUUUGAACCAGUGAUCUUUUGGUUAGCAGCUCAGCUGAGUGUUUAACCAUUAUGCCACCAGGGCUCCUGGAACAAUUCUAGGCAUGGGGCAAUAACAGAACAAGAUAGAUGAAAAUUCCUGAAUCCCUCCUGUAGCAGACUUUAUAAUUGGGACAGCUUAGACUGAGAGUAAGUAAAUACGUAAACAAAAAAAUUAGUGCUUUGAAGAAAAUAAAAUAAAAUAGAGUGAUAUGCUACAGUGUGUCUGGAGCUGCCAUAUCACAUCUCUCUCGACUUCAUUGUUUCAUCUGUAAAAUGGGGAUAAUAUGUUAGUCAUACAGGUAGUCGUGGCACAAUAAAAUUGUAUCAUGUGGAAUUCCAAGGACCUCCAAAUGGUUUCCCUGAACCAGAAUUUUAAUAUAUACAGUUAGAAGUCUCAUUUCCAGCCUCUAAAUAAAUUAAAAAAUAUAUAUAAAUAAAAAAUAGACGUGUAUAUAUUGAGUGCCUGCUAUGGUGAUCUAAAGAAUCCUUUAACACAUAUUUAUUGAGUGCCUGCCAUGUGCCAAGCAGGGUUGUAGGUGCUAGGGAUACAGUAGUGAACAAAAAGAGACAGAAAAUUUUUGCCCUUGUGAAGCUUAACUUUCUGACAGGUGAGAUAGUAAACACAUAAAUAAAAUAUAAGGGGAUUCCGCCAACCACAGUCUGUCCUCUGGCCCCCCAAGGUUCCUGGCCCUUGGUGGAUACACACCUUCUCCCAGCUAUUCAAACACCAGUCUAGGUACUGCUAUGAAGGGAUUUUGGGAAAUUAUGAGGGUGGGAACGACCUGAUCAAAUGAGCCCUUUAAAAGCAGAGAGUUUUCUUAGCUGGUUACAGAAGAAAAAAAGAUAUGCUCUCCAGAGGGCUUUGAAGAAAGCAAACAUCCAUGUUGCAAAUUGCUUGUGGGGGCCGUGUGGCAGUGAACUGUGGGCAGCCUCUAUGAGCUGAGAGUGGUCCCUGGAUGACAGCUAGGAGGGAAAUGGGGACCUCGGUGCUACAACUGCAAGGAAAUGGAUUUUUCCAACAACCAGUGAGCUUAGGAAAGGGCCUAGGCCCCAGAUGAGACAUAGCCUCAACUGACACCUUGAUUUCAGCCUGGCAAGACCCUGAGUAGAGAAUCUAGUCAUGCUGGGCCUAGACUUCCGACCUAUAGAAACCGUGAGAUAAUAGGUGUUGUUUAAAAAAGGAGGAAAAAAAAAAAGUCCAUGUAUGUGUGUGUAUAUGUGUUUGUACAUAUAGAAUCAGAUGGUGAUGUGAAGAGAAAUAAAACAGGAGAAAGGGGAUAAUGAGAAAUAUCCCCCUAUCUGCAUGAGGGUACUUGAGACCUGAUACCCAGCCAUCCCAUCAGUGGACAUCGGGUAUAAAAAGAAGUCCUUGACCACAUGUGACUUCCAUCUACAGCCCAAAACCUCUUCCUAUAUAUUUAACUUUUUCAUCAUCCCAAAAGGAAACCCUGUGCCCAUUAAACAGUCACUCCCCAUUCCCUCCUCCUGCCAGUCCCUGGUAAGCACUUUUCUGUCUCUGGAUUUACCUGUUCGGGGUGUUUCAUAUAAAUGGAAUCAUACAAUAUGUGGCCUUGUGUGACGGGCUGGCUUCUUUCACUUAGCAUGAUGUUUUCCAGGUCCAUCCACGUUGUAGCAUGUAUCAGUGCUUCAUUCCUUUUUAUGGCUGAGAAGUAUUUUCUUGUAUGGAUAUACCACACUUUGUUUAUCCAUUCAUCAGUUGAUGAACAUUUGAGUUGUUUCCACCUUUUGGCUGUAGUGAAACAUACUGUCAUGAGCAUCCAUGUGUAAGUAUCUGUUAGAGUCCCUUUUCAAUACUUUGGAGUAUACCUAGGAGUGGAAUUUCUGGGUCAGAUCAUAACUCUGUUUAGUUUAUCGGAGAAUCACCAAAGUGUUUUCCACAGUGGCUGCAACAUUUUACAUUCCCACCAGCAAUGUGUGAGGGUUCCAGUUUUCCAUAUCCUUGCCAACACUUCCAACAUUUGGUAUUUUGUUUUUUUUUAAUGGCCAUCCUAGUGGUUGUGAGUAGCAUCUCGUUGUGGUUUUAAUUUGCGUUUCCCUAAUGACUAUGAUGUUGAGCAUCUUUUCAUGUCCUUUUUGGCCAUUUGGAUAUCUUCGUUGGAGAAACGUCUAAUCAAGCCCUCUGCCCAAUUUUUAAAUUCGGUGUUUGUCUUUUUGUUGUUGAGUUGUAAGAGUUUUUUUUAACUAAUUCUGGGUACUAGACCUAUUUGCAAAUAGUUUCACUCUCUUGUUAAUGUUCUUUGACACACAAAAGUUUUUUUUUAUUUUGACGAAGUCCAGUUUAUUUAUUUUUUCUUUUGUUGCUUAUACACGUCUAAGAACCAUUGCCAAAUCUAAGGUCAAGAAGAUUUACCGCUGUGUUUUCUUUUAAGAGUUGUAUAACUUUUAGCUCUCAUAUUUAGGUCUUUGAUCCAUCUUAAUUUUUGUAUAUGGUGUGAGGUAAGAAUCCAACUUCAUUCUUUUGCAUGUGAAUAUUUAUUUGACCCAGCACCAUUUGCUGAAGAGACUUAUUUUUCCCUGAGUAGCCUCGGCACUCUUGUCAAAAAUCAGUUAUCGUAGAUGUAUGGCUUAUUUCUGGACUUUCACUUCUAUUCCAUUUAUAUGUCUACCCUUAUACCAGUACUACAGUUUUGAUUUUUGUAGCUUUGCAGUAAGUUUUAAAAUUGGGUAGUCCUCCAACUUGGUUCUUUUGGAAGAUGGUUUUCGUUAUUUGAUGUUCCUUGCAAUUCCAUAUAGAUUAUAGGAUUAAAAAAAAAUUUUAAGAUCAAGCUUUUCCAUUUCUGCAUAAAAGGCCAUUGGUAUUUUGAUAAGGAUUACUUUGAAUCUGUAGAUUGCUUUGGGUAAAGGCUGAAUGCGUAUCUUCUCAUCCGGUUGCCCUCAGGUUGACUCUGACCCACGGUGACCCCGUGUAUUGCAGAGUACAACUGAGCUCCAUGGGGUUUUCAUGGCUGUGACCUUUCAGAAGCACAUCCCCAGGCCAUUUCUUCUAAGAUUCCUCUGAAUGGGUUCAAACCACCAACUUUUUGGUUAGUAGCUAAGUGCAUAACCAUUUGCGCCACUCAGAGACUCCGUAUCAUAUUAUAAAUGGUAUAUCAUUUAAUUCAUCUCAUGUUGGUGGACAAUUUGGGUUCUCAGCUUUUUUGGUAACAUAUGUAUAGUUGCAAAAAAUCCUGUUAUAAAUAUAUUUGUGCACCUAUGAAACCCUGGAUGAAUAUAUGUCAGACAUCUAACAGUAACUAUCUCCAGGCCAGGAAUUAAGGGGACUUUCAACCUCUAUAUUAUAUAUUUCUGUGGUGUUUGAAAAAAAUUUUUAACAAGGAAACGUGGAUUACUUUUGUAAGCAGAAAAAAAGUCUGGUAAAGAUAAAGUUUAUUUAAAAAAACCAAAGCCUGGCAUGGUGUUGUUGUUAUUAGGUGCUGUCGAGUCAGUUCCGACUCACAGCAACACUAUGUGCGAUAGAACGAAACACUGCCGAGUCUGGCGCCAUCGUCACAAAUCGUUGUUAUGCUGUAGCCCAUUUUUGUAGCCACUGUGUCAGUCCAUCUCGUUGUGGGUGACCCUCUGCUUUACCAAGCAUGAUGUCCUUCUCCAGGGACCAGUGCCUCUUGAUAACAUGUGCAAAGUAUGUGAGACGUAGUCGCGCCAUCCUUCCUGGCUUCUAAGGAGUGUUCUGGUUGUACUUCUUCCAAGAUAGACUUGUCUGUUCUUUUGGCAGUCCAUGGUAUGUUCAGUAUUCUUCUCCAGCACCACAAUUCAAAGGUGUUGCCAAUCUUUUUCAGUCUUCUUUAUUCAUCGUCCAGCUUUCACAUGCCUAUAAGGUGAUUGAAAACACCAUGGUUUGGGUCAGGUGCACCUUAGUCUUGAAGGUGACAUCUUUGCUUUACAACACUUUAAAGAGGUCUUUUGCAGCAGAUUUAUCCAGUGCAAUGUGUCGUUUGACUUCUUAACUGCUGCUUCUGGUAUAUACCAAGCCUGGUAUACAAUAUGCAUAGUAGCGUAAGUAGUAUAUGCAGUGAUUGGACCUCCCUAACAAGUAGAAUCACCAAAAUUGACAUGUUGAAAUUAGAAAGCUUAUUAGCAAGUGAGGGCGUUGAUCUCUUUGACUUGGUCUCAGAGAAUUGGUGGAAGGAGAGCAAGCAGUAGGUUUGGAGAUGUUGGACUACAGAUUCUCUUGGAUAGAUGGGCCUGCAUGUAAAGCACAAUGUAGUGUAGAAGCUUUACUAGAUAAAGAUGGUACCACGGAUCUCUUAGUGAGAUCUUGUCCUUAUUGGAUAUAAUUGGGCUAGCAAAGAUAUGAAGCAGACCACCUGAUAAUGAGAUUGGAGAAGCCACAGAAUUGGGUCAGACAGCAGUGACUGGAGACUAACUUUUCAGACAUGAACAAGACUUAGUAAUGUUGGUUAAGAGCCCAUUCAUAGGAUAGGAGGUCUUAGAACUACCAAGGAAAUCCAUGAAAUCUGAUCCAGAGUAUUCAGUGAAAUUAAUAAAGGAAGUAAUUGCAAGUCAUCUGGAAAAGGAAAUGCUUGAUCACUCCUGGACUAUUUAAAAAUGUGUAUGUGCCUAAAGCUAUGUACCUGUGGAAAUACAUAUCCCCCAAUUCUUUCGAAGUAGACAAGUUGUAGAUGUUGGAAGUCUUUAAGGUGGAGGAGGAUGAAGUACCUACACAGGACCUGGAAACGUAGAAGAAGACUUCUCUUAAAGAAAUAAGAGUGAGACCUAAUAUCACAGAAAGAGACAGCUGGGUAUCAUGUGCUUUGUGAGGAAAGUACUCAGCAGCUAUGAAUAUUCUAGCCAAAAAAAAAAUAAACCUGAAUCAGAUAAAUGCUCUAGAUCUAACUAUUAGUUUAUAUAAAA